rnacentral:rRNA from 1 species
AUUGAACGCUGGCGGCAGGCUUAACACAUGCAAGUCGAGCGGGGUGAUGGUGCUUGCACUAUCACUUAGCGGCGGACGGGUGAGUAAUGCUUAGGAAUCUGCCUAUUAGUGGGGGACAACAUCUCGAAAGGGAUGCUAAUACCGCAUACGUCCUACGGGAGAAAGCAGGGGAUCACUUGUGACCUUGCGCUAAUAGAUGAGCCUAAGUCGGAUUAGCUAGUUGGUGGGGUAAAGGCCUACCAAGGCGACGCUCUGUAGCGGGUCUGAGAGGAUGAUCCGCCACACUGGGGCUGAGACACGGCCCAGACUCCGACGGGAGGCAGCAGUGGGGAAUAUUGGACAAUGGGGGGAACCCUGAUCCAGCCAUGCCGCGUGUGUGAAGAAGGCCUUAUGGUUGUAAAGCACUUUAAGCGAGGAGGAGGCUCUUUUGGUUAAUACCCAGGAUGAGUGGACGUUACUCGCAGAAUAAGCACCGGCUAACUCUGUGACAGCCGCCGCCGCCG